rnacentral:rRNA from 1 species
CCUACGGGGGGCUGUAGUGGGGAAUAUUGCACAAUGGGGGAAACCCUGAUGCAGCGACGCCGCGUGAGUGAAGAAGUAUUUCGGUAUGUAAAGCUCUAUCAGCAGGGAAGAAAAAAGACGGUACCUGACUAAGAAGCCUCGGCUAACUACGUGCCAGCAGCCGCGGUAAUACGUAGGGCGCAAGCGUUAUCCGGAUUUACUGGGUGUAAAGGGAGCGUAGACGGGAGUGCAAGUCUGGAGUGAAAUCCCAUGGCUUAACCAUGGAACUGCUGUGGAAACUGGGCAGCUAGAGUGCAGGAGAGGAAAGCGGAAUUCCUGGUGUAGCGGUGAAAUGCGUAGAUAUCAGGAGGAACACCGAUGGCGAAGGCAGCUUACUGGGGUGUAACUGACGUUGAGGCUCGAAAGCGUGGGGAGCAAACAGGACUAGAUACCCGUGUAGUC